UCAAGUGACUAAGAGCAUGUGGUGGAUGCCUUGGCGAUUACAGGCGACGAAAGACGUGAUAGCCUGCGAUAAGCUUCGGGGAGCUGGCAAAUAAGCUUUGAUCCGGAGAUUUCUGAAUGGGGAAACCCACCUCGCAAGAGGUAUCGCAUACUGAAUACAUAGGUAUGCGAGGCGAACCGGGUGAACUGAAACAUCUCAGUAGCUCGAGGAAAAGACAUCAACCGAGAUUCCGAAAGUAGUGGCGAGCGAAAUCGGAAGAGCCUUCUAGUGAUAGCACGACUGUUAGCAAAACGGAAUGGAAAGUCCGGCCAUAGCAGGUGAUAGCCCUGUAUGCGAAAACAGACGUGUGGUACUAAGUUAGAGAAAAGUAGGGCGGGACACGAGAAAUCCUGUCUGAAUAUGGGGGGACCAUCCUCCAAGGCUAAAUACUCGUAAUCGACCGAUAGUGAACCAGUACCGUGAGGGAAAGGCGAAAAGAACCCCGGGAGGGGAGUGAAAUAGAUCCUGAAACCGCAUGCUUACAAAAAGUAGGAGCCCGUAAGGGUGACUGCGUACCUUUUGUAUAAUGGGUCAGCGACUUACAUUCAGUGGCAAGGUUAACCGAAUAGGGAAGCCGUAGAGAAAUCGAGUCCGAAUAGGGCGAAUCAGUCGCUGGGUGUAGACCCGAAACCAAGUGAUCUAUCCAUGGCCAGGAUGAAGGUGCCGUAACAGGUACUGGAGGUCCGAACCCACUAGUGUUGCAAAACUAGGGGAUGAGCUGUGGAUAGGGGUGAAAGGCUAAACAAACUUGGAAAUAGCUGGUUCUCUCCGAAAACUAUUUAGGUAGUGCCUCAAGUAUUACCUGCGGGGGUAGAGCACUGUUUAGGCUAGGGGGUCAUGGCGACUUACCAAACCUAUGCAAACUCCGAAUACCGCAGAGUACAGCUUGGGAGACAGAGCACCGGGUGCUAACGUCCGGACUCAAGAGGGAAACAACCCAGACCGCCAGCUAAGGUCCCUAAAAUUGGCUAAGUGGGAAACGAAGUGGGAAGGCUAAAACAGUCAGGAUGUUGGCUUAGAAGCAGCCAUCAUUUAAAGAAAGCGUAAUAGCUCACUGAUCGAGUCGUCCUGCGCGGAAGAUGUAACGGGGCUAAGCCAGUUACCGAAGCUGCGGAUGUGCAAUUUAUUGCACGUGGUAGGAGAGCGUUCUGUAGGCCUGUGAAGGUGUCUGGUAACGGAUGCUGGAGGUAUCAGAAGUGCGAAUGCUGACAUGAGUAGCGUUAAAGGGGGUGAAAAGCCCCCUCGCCGUAAGCGCAAGGUUUUCUACGCAACGUUCAUCGGCGUAGAGUGAGUCGGCCCCUAAGGCGAGGCAGAGAUGCGUAGCUGAUGGGAAACAGGUCAAUAUUCCUGUACCGAUCAAUAGUGCGAUGUGGGGACGGAGAAGGUUAGCUCAGCCAACUGUUGGAUAUGUUGGUUCAAGCCUGUAGUCGUGCCUGGUAGGCAAAUCCGCCGGGCUUAGAUGAGGGGUGAUAACGAGUCUGCUUGCAGACGAAGUGAGUGAUACCCUGCUUCCAGGAAAAGCCACUAAGCUUCAGCUAUUGACGACCGUACCGCAAACCGACACUGGUGCGCGAGAUGAGUAUUCUAAGGCGCUUGAGAGAACUCAGGAGAAGGAACUCGGCAAAUUGAUACCGUAACUUCGGGAGAAGGUAUGCCCCAAGUAGGUGAACUCGUACAGAGGGAGCCCAAAGGGGUUGCAAAAAAUCGGUGGCUGCGACUGUUUAAUAAAAACACAGCACUCUGCAAACACGAAAGUGGACGUAUAGGGUGUGACGCCUGCCCGGUGCUGGAAGAUUAAAUGAUGGGGUGCAAGCUCUUGAUUGAAGUCCCAGUAAACGGCGGCCGUAACUAUAACGGUCCUAAGGUAGCGAAAUUCCUUGUC
rnacentral:rRNA from 1 species